CACAGCGAUUCAGUUUGAGCCAAGAAGCAAUACAGAACGGCAAGAAAACAGGAACAUUGAUCGUCAUUUGCUUUAAUCCGAAACCGAGAUCGUCUGGAGGAAGAAACAUGGCGUCGUUUGUGUGUGUUAUUUUUACGCUAAUUUUCUUCCUGGUUACGACCUGCUCAGCAUUACGGGUCGAAGACGAAUUAUCCUCGGUCUAUGGGAUUAUGGUUCUGCCUAUAAUCGCCUUCUGCCUCAUCAUCUACCUGGAACUGCGGAGAGGACCAUGAGCUGAGCGACGAAAAUAUGAGAAGAGGACGAAGACUGAAAAUAUACUUGUGGAUCACUUACAAGAAUUCACUCAGUUUUCUGUUAUUUUAAACAUAUUUUUUUCUCUCUCUAAUUUCCCUUGAAUUCCAACGAUAUUUUUUACUAUUGCUUUUGUUUAGAUUAUUUUAUUGUCUUCUCCCAUUUAAUAUGAUUCUUUUCUGAUUUUCCUAAACUGUUCUUUUCUUGUGUAGUUAAUAAAUGUGAAUAUAUUUUUAA